UACUUCGUCGGAAAUCAGCACAUGCCAGCUAGCGAAUAUUCAACAUAAAAAUAUGAUGGUUAUAGGCACAUACCUUUCAUUGCCUUUAAUCUUCAAGUUCUCCUCGAUCUGCUCUCUACCCAUGUUCGCACAUGAUCCAAAUUUCUCUUUCAUGCUCAUGAGUUUCUGAUAACACGCUGAUUUACUUUUAUGUGUUCCUGAAUAGAGUAACCAAAUUAAGUGAAAAUCGGUUUUCUUCUUGACUACGUAAAGUAGAAGACGGUACCAGCAUUUUCCGACAAAGAGGGAGGGGGAGGAAAGAAUUUAUUAUUAAGCUACUCUAAGGGAGUCACAUCUUUUAGAUUCAUCUUUACAUGCAAGGAGAAAACUGUGAUAAUGCAGCCAUAGAGGAACAAAUCCAAAAUACACAAAACAAAUACAUUGUAGCUAUCAUGAGUUUUGUUGUUGGGGUCAGGCAAUUGAAGAUUGUGGUCAUAAAUGCAGUAAAGCAUGCCUCUACUUAUGAGAGAACAACCAAAAUUACAAUAAACUCCACACUGAUUAUAAGUAUAGUGUUCGUACAAAAUGCUAAAAAGGAAAAUAGGUCUUCAUAAAUUGAAGAUAGUUCAGCCACAUCAGAUUCAGCACUACACAUAACUCGCGUACAUAUAUGCAUUGUUAAAUACACUGCUAAUCACAUCAAUACGAAAAUUUCCUUUCGAGGUCUUGCAGCUCUUUGGAAAUAAAACAAAAGCGACCAAAGGGCAGCUUCAAAUACCUUGCCUGCGGAGACCGUGCAUGUCCAGCAAUGAACCUCACCAGGACUCAAUCAUUUGGCAUGAACAGAUUGCUGGGCUGCAGCACACAACAAGAAGAACCAGUUCAACACGGAGUUAAUUUGAAAAAACCAAUGUCCAAGACAGUUUGUAGUUAACAUAAAUUAACAUUAUUGUUUCAGUUAACAACAAAAAUUAACAUUAUUGUUUCAGUUAACAACUCCUUUCUUGCACGGACAUGUAUUAUGUGAUCAAGCAGUAAAAAGCAUUUAAGGGAUUAUCUAAGUACAAAAUUUAGAGAGAAAAACAAAACUUUCAGACCAUGAACCACCGAUCUUCGCAAAAUAAGUUGUCUGAGGUUACUUAUCUGCCUAAGAGAGCGUGUACUACACGUCGAUGAUGCCCAUUUGCUCUAUAGGAUCCUGCACAAUUUACAGAUGUUUUUCCACUAUCAUGCGCCCAUGGAC
rnacentral:lncRNA from 1 species